CCCACCCCCCAAAAAAAGGGUAGAUAAUUAAAAAAAAAUGUUUGAAAAUAAUAUUAUGGUUGUCUUGUAUAUCCCGAACACAACAGAUUUUUUCACUGUGUUGUUUCAGUCUCCCUAAUGCUCAUAUAUAAUCAAGUGAGAGUCUGUGUGGUCAUAUAACUCGCCAGCCGUCUAUAAUUAUCCAGUCCUACAUACUUAACCAUAUAUAAUUAACUACUCAUACAUAAUUAACCAUAUAUAAUUAACCAUUCAUAUAUAAUUAGGUAACCAUUUUCUAUUUGUUUUCAUACAGUAGAGGAAACAGUUUAGGGUCAAAAAAAAAAAAAAAAAAAGGAAACUGAUGAAAUAAAAGCUAUAUCACUCAUACAUAAUUAACCAUAUCUAAUUAACCAGUCAUAUAUAAUUAGGUAACCAUUUUCUAUUUGUUUUCAUACAGUAGAGGAAACAGUUCAGGGGCAAAAAAAAAAAAAGGAAACUGAUGAAAUAAAAGCUAUAUCACUCAUACAUAAUUAACCAUAUCUAAUUAACCAGUCAUAUAUAAUUAGGUAACCAUUUUCUAUUUGUUUUCAUACAGUAGAGGAAACGGAAUGUCCAAAAAAAAAGGAAA